AACGAACGCUGGCGGCAUGCCUAACACAUGCAAGUCGAACGAUAUCUUCGGGUCUAGUGGCGCACGGGUGCGUAACGCGUGGGAAUCUGCCCUUUGGUUCGGAAUAACAGUUGGAAACGACUGCUAAUACCGGAUGAUGACGAAAGUCCAAAGAUUUAUCGCCAGAGGAUGAGCCCGCGUAGGAUUAGCUAGUUGGUGUGGUAAAGGCGCACCAAGGCGACGAUCCUUAGCUGGUCUGAGAGGAUGAUCAGCCACACUGGGACUGAGACACGGCCCAGACUCCUACGGGAGGGAGCAGUGGGGAAUAUUGGACAAUGGGCGAAAGCCUGAUCCAGCAAUGCCGCGUGAGUGAUGAAGGCCUUAGGGUUGUAAAGCUCUUUUACCCGGGAUGAUAAUGACAGUACCGGGAGAAUAAGCUCCGGCUAACUCCGUGCCAGCAGCCGCCGUAA
rnacentral:rRNA from 1 species